rnacentral:rRNA from 1 species
CAAUAGCGUAUAUUUAAGUUGUUGCAGUUAAAAAGCUCGUAGUUGGAUUUCGGGCGUGUCGCGUUGGUCCGCCAAUGGUGAGUACUGGCGUCGGCGCGCCUUCCUGCCGGGGACGGGCUCCUGGGCUUCACUGUCUGGGACUCGGAGUCGGCGACGUUACUUUGAGAAAAUUAGAGUGUUCAAAGCAGGCCUACGCUCGAAUACUUUAGCAUGGAAUAACACGAUAGGACUCUGGCCUAUCCUGUUGGUCUGUAGGACCGGAGUAAUGAUUAAGAGGGACAGUCGGGGGCAUUCGUAUUUCAUUGUCAGAGGUGAAAUUCUUGGAUUUAUGAAAGACGAACCACU